CCUCUUUGUGUCCCGUUUAAACUGCCGUCUUCAGUCGGUCCACAGCAGAACACAAACCUGACAUUUCUACACACACAGACGGACGGACGGGGAGAGGAAGAUCAUCUUUUUACAGCUCAGUUGGAAAAGCAGCAAAAGCAGCGAGACGAGGAGUGGCUUCGAAAUAUGACAGAAUGCAUCAAAAGUGAUGUUGCGGAACAAGUAAGCCAUGGACUCUCCGUUGUGGAUGCGGCGGAUGGCCUCAGCUAGAAUCAUGCUGACGUCCACAGUCUUGAUUUUGGGACACUGCAGCUUCUGUACUUCGUGGGGGACCGUGUUGGUCACCACCACCUGAGGGACGGAUAAUCACAGAGGAUCUCAGCAGCUGCAACAAAGUCUCCGACAUCAUCUAUGAUGUCAUCCUGGAAGAAGAAAAAAGGUCAUUUUCUCUGUCAUGGUGUCUCUGAUCAGUUGGCUGACUUACAGUGUCAUGAAAUAGAUACGGAUAAUGACGGGGACAUAUGAACACUAUUGUGGCCAUUAAUAAGAAUGAUGGGGGAAACAAGAAAUACCAAAACAUCAAGUCAGUGAACUUGAAGUUUUACAUGAAAAUGAAUUGUAAACCAACAUAAGCGACUGCUCAUAUCAGAACACACGAGGCUGUUUUCACUGAUGGAUUAUCUGUAUGUUUUAUUGCCUGUGAAUUAAACGUUCUUAUAUUAAA